CUCUGAAACAACACGCAAGGAAGAACUCCAAGAAAACACGAGCGGCAACUGAUAGGCGGUCAUAAAAUGGCAUUAUUUCUGACAACCGGUAAAUGCUACUACUGCGAAUGUUGAAGUUGCUUAUUGAAGGGAAAGGAGAAAUGAGGAGUUCCUGGUCCUGUUUUUAGCUUCUACCUAAUAAAUGGGACUUGGGCAGAGAUGACAGAUUUAAGUCAGGAAUCAAAAGGCCAUCUAUGAGAAGCUGUUUCUGUGGGAGGGAGAGAGUGAAUCAUGUGUGUGCGGAGCCAGAUAGAACUGUCUUUAGGUUUUCUCCUCAUGUCCAAAAGACAGGGAGAAGGAGAGGUGGGAGAGAAAAAUCAAAGAACACUAGAGCUGGAAGGAAAGUUUGAAACCAUCCAGUACAACAAAUGAAAGAACUGAAGCCCAGAAAGGUCUCACAAAUCAGCAGUCAGAACAGAAAAUGGGAAGAAAAACGGAGAUGGAAG